rnacentral:lncRNA from 1 species
UUCUUAUCUUUGAUUUGAAUCAAAUUCAAAUUAGGAAGGAGAUAAAGAUCAUGACUCAUCACAUGAGUGCCGCCCAUCCCUUUCUGUGCCCUCCUUUCUCAUGCCAAAAUACCUCACGCAAACUUUUUUUAUGUGUAAUGAGUAGCAUGGGUCCUAGGGCAUAUGCAAGGGAGAGAAUCCCAAGUGGUUGGGACUUUAUAGUUUCUUAUCUGAUUCUAAUCUAAGUCAGAUUUGGUUUGGAUCCAAUGAGAGGAAGGCACCUAAUCUAAUUAGGAACACAAUCUUCUUAAUAAAUUUUUAAUUCAAUUAAGAAUUAACUAAAUUCAAGUUCUGAUCAAAUCAGAAACUAAUUUUUCUUACAAUUAGGCUUGAUCUAAUCAAACCGAAUCCAAGUCAGACUAAAUCUAAUUCAAUUAGACUUAUUCCAAAUCUUAUUGCUCAAUCAACUUGAGUAAAUUAGCAAUCUAAUUGCUAAUUAAUUCUCUAUUAAUACCAGAGUCUCAGUCUAGUUGGAGUCUCCAUCAGAGUCCCAAUCCAGUGAAACUCUAUAUUAGAUCAGCCAUCUGAUCAGACUGAAACUUCUAAUGUAUGUGACCCCAUAGGUUCGAAC